AGAAGUUCAAUUAAUUCAAUGAAUUGAAAUAAAAUGUUAAUUUGGCGGCUCAUAGUUGAGUGAACAUCAGUUGUCACAGUAUCGUAAUUCUUGUUGAUUCGGAACCCUUUAUAAGAGUAAUUUGUGGAGAUUUUGGAGAGAGUAAGGACUCAAGUAUUAUAUAAGAUUCAGUAUGGGUUUAGAUCGGUUUCCAAAUGUCCCCAAGACAUAUCGAGAGAUGAGCGCUGAGGCUAAAACAAAAUACAUCGCAGAUGAGAUUGUCAGCUAUUUUCAACUCUACUGGGGAAUCGAACUCAAAGUGGCCUUUGCUAUCAUCUGCCUGACGAUUUUAGUCAACGUUUCUUUGCUGUGUGCCAUUGGAAUUACAGGAAACAUCAAGAAAUAUCACAGUUUUUUGGAAGUGGCCAGAGGACUGACCGAGAGUUUAAUGCUUGUAUCCAUAGCAGUUCAAGCUACUAAAAAUAUGUACAACACCACCGAAGCACAGGAAGCCAUUCCAGGUUUUGUUGCCUUUUGGUUUUUCUCCCUUAGUUCCGUGAAUUUGGGUCUGAUAAAGUCCUUCACAGGAUUUUUGCGGUUCACCGACAAACCGACUUUUUCCAGACUACAGUGGCUGAUCAUCAUGAUGGUGGUUGCUGCAUUCACCCUGGUUACAUUUGUUGUUCUGUGUGUGUUCUUUUGCUGUAGUGACGUUGGUCAUCGGACGAAUCGCCUGGGUAUUCUUCAGACCGGUUUCCAUGGAAGUUCGACUCCAAAGCGUUCCUGGAAUUUUGUAAAAUUGUACUUUUCUUGGUGGUCCAUUCUUCAGCUCUUAACGCAUUAGCAUGUAUUUGUGUUGGGUUCGGGUUUUCUU
rnacentral:sRNA from 1 species